rnacentral:tRNA from 1 species
GGGCGUGUAGCUCAGUGGCAGAGCGGUUGUCUUAUAAACAACAGGUCCUAGGUUCGAUCCCUAGCACGCCCA